UAUCAAUAAGCGGAGGAAAAGAAACCAACAGGGAUUGCCUCAGUAGCGGCGAGUGAAGCGGCAAGAGCUCAGAUUUGAAAUCUCACCUAGUGUGCGAGUUGUAAAUUGCAGGUUGGAGUCUCGGGUUAGACGUGUGUGCAAGUCCCUUGGAACAGGGUGCCACUGAGGGUGAGAGCCCCGUAUCGUGCAUGUCGACACCUGUGAGGCCCUUCUGACGAGUCGAGUUGUUUGGGAAUGCAGCUCUAAGUGGGUGGUAAAUUCCAUCUAAGGCUAAAUAUUGGCGAGAGACCGAUAGCGAACAAGUACUGUGAAGGAAAGAUGAAAAGCACUUUGGAAAAGAGAGUGAAACAGCACGUGAAAUUGUUGAAAGGGAAGGGUAUUGGGCUCGACAUGGGAUUUACGCAUCGUUGCCUCUCGUGGGCGGCGCUCUGGGUUUUUCCUGGGCCAGCAUCGGUUUUCGUUGCAGGAUAAGGACAAUUGGAAUGUGGCUCCUCGGAGUGUUAUAGCCUUUUGUAGAUGCUGCGUAUGGGGACCGAGGGCUGCGGCGGACUCGUUUCGUCUCGGAUGCUGGCACAA
rnacentral:rRNA from 1 species